rnacentral:rRNA from 1 species
GAUGAACGCUGGCGGCGUGCCUAAUACAUGCAAGUCGAGCGAACAGACGAGGAGCUUGCUCCUUUGACGUUAGCGGCGGACGGGUGAGUAACACGUGGGUAACCUACCUAUAAGACUGGGAUAACUUCGGGAAACCGGAGCUAAUACCGGAUAAUAUUUCGAACCGCAUGGUUCGAUAGUGAAAGAUGGCUUUGCUAUCACUUAUAGAUGGACCUGCGCCGUAUUAGCUAGUUGGUAAGGUAACGGCUUACCAAGGCAACGAUACGUAGCCGACCUGAGAGGGUGAUCGGCCACACUGGAACGGAGACACGGUCCAGACUCCUACGGGAGGCAGCAGUAGGGAAUCUUCCGCAAUGGGCGAAAGCCUGACGGAGCAACGCCGCGUGAGUGAUGAAGGUCUUCGGAGCGUAAAACUCUGUUAUUAGGGAAGAACAAACGUGUAAGUAACUGUGCACGUCUUGACGGUACCUAAUCAGAAAGCCACGGCUAACUACGUG